UGCGGGAAUGAAAAACAAGACUUAUCAGGGCCCCUAAACAUCAUGUGAAACUCCUGAACGUAGUUUAAAUUUUAGAAGAAGCAUUCCUCCAACACACAACAGCAACAAAGUGCAGCCAAACAUCCUUUCAAAAACGAGGAACAGCCGUCGGAAUUAUCUUGGUAAUGGUUAUGCUCGUAGUGAUAAUGCUGAUAAUGAGGCUGUCCAGGAGGCGGUGGAGGUGGUGGGUA
rnacentral:misc_RNA from 1 species